rnacentral:rRNA from 1 species
GACGAACGCUGGCGGCGUGCUUAACACAUGCAAGUCGAACGGAAAGGCCCUGCUUUUGUGGGGUGCUCGAGUGGCGAACGGGUGAGUAACACGUGAGUGACCUGCCCUUGACUUUGGGAUAACUUCAGGAAACUGGGGCUAAUACCGGAUAGGAGCUCCUGCUGCAUGGUGGGGGUUGGAAAGUUUCGGCGGUUGGGGAUAGACUCGCGGCUUAUCAGCUUGUUGGUGGGGUAGUGGCUUACCAAGGCUUUGACGGGUAGCCGGCCUGAGAGGGUGACCGGCCACAUUGGGACUGAGAUACGGCCCAGACUCCUACGGGAGGCAGCAGUGGGGAAUAUUGCACAAUGGGCGGAAGCCUGAUGCAGCAACGCCGCGUGCGGGAUGACGGCCUUCGGGUUGUAAACCGCUUUCGCCUGUGACGAAGCGUGAGUGACGGUAAUGGGUAAAGAAGCACCGGCUAACUACGUG